UUUCCGUAGGUGAACCUGCGGAAGGAUCAUUAU
rnacentral:rRNA from 17 species